CCUGGCUCAGGACGAACGCUGGCGGCGCGCCUAACACAUGCAAGUCGAACGAGCGAGAGAGAGCUUGCUUUCUCGAGCGAGUGGCGAACGGGUGAGUAACGCGUGAGGAACCUGCCUCAAAGAGGGGGACAACAGUUGGAAACGACUGCUAAUACCGCAUAAGCCCACGGGUCGGCAUCGACCAGAGGGAAAAGGAGCAAUCCGCUUUGAGAUGGCCUCGCGUCCGAUUAGCUAGUUGGUGAGGUAAUGGCCCACCAAGGCGACGAUCGGUAGCCGGACUGAGAGGUUGAACGGCCACAUUGGGACUGAGACACGGCCCAGACUCCUACGGGAGGCAGCAGUGGGGAAUAUUGCACAAUGGGGGAAACCCUGAUGCAGCGACGCCGCGUGGAGGAAGAAGGUCUUCGGAUUGUAAACUCCUGUUGUUGGGGAAGAUAAUGACGGUACCCAACAAGGAAGUGACGGCUAACUACGUGCCAGCAGCCGCGGUAAAACGUAGGUCACAAGCGUUGUCCGGAAUUACUGGGUGUAAAGGGAGCGCAGGCGGGAAGACAAGUUGGAAGUGAAAUCUAUGGGCUCAACCCAUAAACUGCUUUCAAAACUGUUUUUCUUGAGUAGUGCAGAGGUAGGCGGAAUUCCCGGUGUAGCGGUGGAAUGCGUAGAUAUCGGGAGGAACACCAGUGGCGAAGGCGGCCUACUGGGCACCAACUGACGCUGAGGCUCGAAAGUGUGGGUAGCAAACAGGAUUAGAUACCCUGGUAGUCCACACCGAUAACGAUGAUUACUAGGUGUUGGAGGAUUGACCCCUUCAGUGCCGCAGUUAACACAAUAAGUAAUCCACCUGGGGAGUACGACCGCAAGGUUGAAACUCAAAGGAAUUGACGGGGGCCCGCACAAGCAGUGGAGUAUGUGGUUUAAUUCGACGCAACGCGAAGAACCUUACAAGUCUUGACAUCCCUUGACAGACAUAGAAAUAUGUAAUCUCUUCGGAGCAAGGAGACAGGUGGUGCAUGGUUGUCGUCAGCUCGUGUCGUGAGAUGUUGGGUUAAGUCCCGCAACGAGCGCAACCCUUAUGGUCAGUUACUACGCAAGAGGACUCUGGCCAGACUGCCGUUGACAAAACGGAGGAAGGUGGGGAUGACGUCAAAUCAUCAUGCCCUUUAUGACUUGGGCUACACACGUACUACAAUGGCGUUAAACAAAGAGAAGCAAGACCGCGAGGUGGAGCAAAACUCAGAAACAACGUCCCAGUUCGGACUGCAGGCUGCAACUCGCCUGCACGAAGUCGGAAUUGCUAGUAAUCGUGGAUCAGCAUGCCACGGUGAAUACGUUCCCGGGCCUUGUACACACCGCC
rnacentral:rRNA from 1 species